rnacentral:rRNA from 1 species
UUCUAAUAGUGACAAUAAUAUUAGUAAUGCCUGCUCUAUGGAUACUAAAUGGCCGCAGAUCUUCUGUGCUAAGGUAGCAUAAUCAUUUGCCUUAUAAUUAAAGGCUAGAAUAAAAGGUGAUACAUACAAAUUUCUUUAUUUUCCUGAUUUCUUUAAAUUAAUUUGUAAGUAAGAAAGCUUACAUUGCUUGGGUGGACGACAAGACCCUAUCGAACUUUACUCUAGUUGAACUGGGGUGGUUAACAAAAUAAAUCUUUCACAAUCUAUAUAAUAUCCCUUAUAAAGGAACAUUAAACAAGUUACCGUAGGGACAACAGCAUAAUUUUUCCUUAAAGAUCUUAUUGAAAGAAAAGUUUGUGACCUCGAUGUUGAAUAUUAUUCUAUUGGGGGCAAAUCCCCUCUAAGAUAGUCUGUUCGACUUUUAAAUAUUUACA